AGUGAACGCUGGCGGUAGGCCUAACACAUGCAAGUCGAACGGCAGCACAGUAAGAGCUUGCUCUUACGGGUGGCGAGUGGCGGACGGGUGAGGAAUACAUCGGAAUCUACUUUUUCGUGGGGGAUAACGUAGGGAAACUUACGCUAAUACCGCAUACGACCUACGGGUGAAAGCAGGGGAUCUUCGGACCUUGCGCGAUUGAAUGAGCCGAUGUCGGUUUAGCUAGUUGGCGGGGUAAAGGCCCACCAAGGCGACGAUCCGUAGCUGGUCUGAGAGGAUGAUCAGCCACACUGGAACUGAGACACGGUCCAGACUCCUACGGGAGGCAGCAGUGGGGAAUAUUGGACAAAGGGCGCAAGCCUGAUCCAGCCAUACCGCGUGGGUGAAGAAGGCCUUCGGGUUGUAAAGCCCUUUUGUUGGGAAAGAAAAGCAGCAGGUUAAUACCCCGCUGUUCUGACGGUACCCAAAGAAUAAGCACCGGCUAACUUCGUG
rnacentral:rRNA from 1 species